rnacentral:rRNA from 1 species
UACGUAGGGUGCAAGCGUUGUCCGGAAUUAUUGGGCGUAAAGAGCUCGUAGGCGGUUUGUUGCGUCGGCUGUGAAAUCCCGAGGCUCAACCUCGGGUCUGCAGUCGAUACGAGCAAACUAGAGUGUUGCAGGGGAGACUGGAAUUCCUGGUGUAGCGGUGAAAUGCGCAGAUAUCAGGAGGAACACCGGUGGCGAAGGCGGGUCUCUGGGCCGAUACUGACGCUGAGGAGCGAAAGCGUGGGGGAGCGAACAGG